rnacentral:rRNA from 1 species
GAUGAACGCUCGCUCCAGGCUUAACACAUGCAAGUCGAGGGGCAGCAUGAACUUAGCUUGCUAAGUUUGAUGGCGACCGGCGCACGGGUGAGUAACACGUAUCCAACCUGCCGAUGACUCGGGGAUAGCCUUUCGAAAGAAAGAUUAAUACCCGAUGGCAUAGUUCUUCCGCAUGGUAGAACUAUUAAAGAAUUUCGGUCAUCGAUGGGGAUGCGUUCCAUUAGGUUGUUGGCGGGGUAACGGCCCACCAAGCCUUCGAUGGAUAGGGGUUCUGAGAGGAAGGUCCCCCACAUUGGAACUGAGACACGGUCCAAACUCCUACGGGAGGCAGCAGUGAGGAAUAGUGGUCAAUGGACGAGAGUCUGAACCAGCCAAGUAGCGUGAAGGAUGACUGCCCUAUGGGUUGUAAACUUCUUUUAUACGGGAAUAAAGUGAGGCACGGGUGCCUUUUUGUAUGUACCGUAUGAAUAAGGAUCGGCUAACUCCGUG